rnacentral:rRNA from 1 species
GGGCCUGGGGGAGCCUACACGUGCGGUCGAACGGUAACAGGAAGCAGCUUGCUGUUUCGCUGACGAGUGGCGGACGGGCGAGUAAUGUCUGGGAAACUGCCUGAUGGAGGGGGAUAACUACUGGAAACGGUAGCUAAUACCGCAUAACGUCGCAAGACCAAAGAGGGGGACCUUCGGGCCUCUUGCCAUCGGAUGUGCCCAGAUGGGAUUAGCUAGUAGGUGGGGUAACGGCUCACCUAGGCGACGAUCCCUAGCUGGUCUGAGAGGAUGACCAGCCACACUGGAACUGAGACACGGUCCAGACUCCUACGGGAGGCAGCAGUGGGGAAUAUUGCACAAUGGGCGCAAGCCUGAUGCAGCCAUGCCGCGUGUAUGAAGAAGGCCUUCGGGUUGUAAAGUACUUUCAGCGGGGAGGAAGGGAGUAAAGUUAAUACCUUUGCUCAUUGACGUUACCCGCAGAAGAAGCACCGGCUAACUCCGUGCCAGCAGCCGCGGUAAUACGGAGGGUGCAAGCGUUAAUCGGAAUUACUGGGCGUAAAGCGCACGCAGGCGGUUUGUUAAGUCAGAUGUGAAAUCCCCGGGCUCAACCUGGGAACUGCAUCUGAUACUGGCAAGCUUGAGUCUCGUAGAGGGGGGUAGAAUUCCAGGUGUAGCGGUGAAAUGCGUAGAGAUCUGGAGGAAUACCGGUGGCGAAGGCGGCCCCCUGGACGAAGACUGACGCUCAGGUGCGAAAGCGUGGGGAGCAAACAGGAUUAGAUACCCUGGUAGUCCACGCCGUAAACGAUGUCGACUUGGAGGUUGUGCCCUUGAGGCGUGGCUUCCGGAGCUAACGCGUUAAGUCGACCGCCUGGGGGUGUACGGCCGCAAGGUUAUAACUCAUAUGAAUUUGACGGGGGGCCCGCACUAAGCGGUGGUGCAUGUGGUUUUAAUUCGAUGCAACGCGUAGAACCUUACCUGGUCUUGUCAUCCACAGAACUUUUCAGAGAUGGAAUAUGGUGCCUUCGGGUACCGUGAGACAGGUGCUGCAUGGCUGUCGUCAGCUCGUGUUGUGAUAUGUUGGGUUUAAGUCCCGGCAACGUAGCGCUACCCCUUAUCCUUUGUUGCAGCGGUUCCGGGCCCGGUACUCAUAGGUAGUACUGCCAGGGAUACCUGUAGUAGGUGGGAUGACGUCAGGUCAUCAUGGCCCGUGUGUUAACGCG